UGACUCUUUGCCUUGGAAAUAGAGAGUGCAUGUGUGGUGUGUAGGCUCAGCACACAUGCCUAUCUGCAGUUGAGUGCCUCCUCUAGAGUAAGAAAGUCAGACCUUUCUUCCUUGCCUUGAGAGAGUGCUUGUUUGGCAUUAAGGCCCAGCGCGCGUGCAGACCUGCCUGCAGCCAAGCACUUUCUCUAGAAUAAGAAAAUCAGAACUACCCUCCUUGAAAUAGUGUGUGUUUGGCGUGCAGGCCCAGCACGGGAACCUGCCUGCAGCUGAGCACCUCCUCUAGAGUAAGAAAAUUGGAAUGUGCCUCCUUGCCUUGAGAAAGUGCAGAUGUGGCAUGCAGGCCCAGGUAGCCGAGCACCUCCUCUAGAGCAGAAACAGCUUUUCCUCCGCUGUCCCUGGAUGAGACAUCUAGCCUUCCAGCCUGAUUUCUUUCUGGAAGAUCCCACCCAAGGACACCCUUCCCUCAAGACCCAUGAUGCAUAAAUUUCUUCCUUCAACACCUGGCAUAGAUAAUCCUCAAGUGGCCAAGAAGAAUUGGGACUGGCUGCAUUGAAAUCCCUCCAUAUCAUCUUAUAUGAGAUGUAUGUAUGCCUAUGACACUAAGAUCCUCACUUAUUUUUCUCCUUAUGAUUUUUAACAUUUUUGUCUGAUGAAAAAGCCAAUGAAACUUUGAAAGUUUGCAGAAUGCAUUUUGGUUGGCCAAUAAUGAUACACUUUUUGGGGAUUUUAUAUUUCGUAUCCAACUCUAUCAAAUAUAUUUUCUGAAAUGUGCUUUUGUCUCUGAGCUUUAAUGCACUAGUUAGU
rnacentral:lncRNA from 11 species